rnacentral:rRNA from 1 species
GAUCCUGGCUUAGGAUGAACGCUAGCGGCAGGCUUAACACAUGCAAGUCGAGGGGCAACGCGAGUAGCAAUACUUGGCGGCGACCGGCGCAAGGGUGCGUAACGCGUGAGCAACAUGCCCGUAUCAGGGGGAUAAUCCAGGGAAACUUGGUCUAAUACCCCAUAGUAAUUUUGUAAGGCAUCUUAUAAGAUUUAAAGCUUUGGUGGAUACGGAUUGGCUCGCGUGACAUUAGCUGGAUGGUAAGGUAACGGCUUACCAUGGCUAUGAUGUCUAGGGGUUCUGAGAGGAAGGUCCCCCCACACUGGAACUGAGACACGGUCCAGACUCCUACGGGAGGCAGCAGUGAGGAAUAUUGGACAAUGGAUGGAAAUCUGAUCCAGCCAUGCCGCGUGAAGGAAGAAAGGUCCUAUGGAUUGUAAACUUCUUUUGUAUGGGAGCAAUAAGGCCUACGAGUAGGUUGAUGAGAGUACCAUACGAAUAAGCACCGGCUAACUCCGUGCCAGCAGCUGC